rnacentral:sRNA from 1 species
CUGUUCCCAUUCCUGAACCGCUUCCUCGUCCUCAACCGAUGCCCGACCCGCCGCCGGACGAAGAACCGAUUAAAA